rnacentral:rRNA from 1 species
AGCGAACGCUGGCGGCAGGCCUAACACAUGCAAGUCGAACGAACUCUUCGGAGUUAGUGGCGGACGGGUGAGUAACACGUGGGAACGUGCCUUUUGGUUCGGCAUAACUCAGGGAAACUUGUGCUAAUACCGAAUGUGCCCUUCGGGGGAAAGAUUUAUCGCCAUUAGAGCGGCCCGCGUCUGAUUAGCUAGUUGGUGAGGUAACGGCUCACCAAGGCGACGAUCAGUAGCUGGUCUGAGAGGAUGACCAGCCACACUGGGACUGAGACACGGCCCAGACUCCUACGGGAGGCAGCAGUGGGGAAUCUUGCGCAAUGGGCGAAAGCCUGACGCAGCCAUGCCGCGUGAAUGAUGAAGGUCUUAGGAUUGUAAAAUUCUUUCACCGGGGACGAUAAUGACGGUACCCGGAGAAGAAGCCCCGGCUAACUUCGUG